GAUGAAGAACGUAGCGAAAUGCGAUAAGUAGUGUGAAUUGCAGAAUUCAGUGAAUCAUCGAAUCUUUGAACGCACAUUGCGCCCUUUGGUAUUCCUUAGGGCAUGCCUGUUCGAGCGUCAUUUAAACCUCCAAGCUCAGCUUGGUGUUGGGUGACUGUCCGCUUCACCGCGGACUCGCCUCAAAAUUAUUGGCGGCCGGUACAUUGGCUCUCGAGCGCAGCAGAAACGCGUAACUCGAGGUCCUCGUGCUGGCUCCCAGAAGCUAUCUUCACAAUUUUGACCUCGGAUCAGGUAGGGAUACCCGCUGAACUUAAGCAUAUCAAUAAGCGGAGGA
rnacentral:misc_RNA from 1 species